rnacentral:rRNA from 1 species
CAGUCGCCGCGGUAAUACGUAGGUGGCAAGCGUUGUCUGGAAUUAUUGGGCGUAAAGCGCGCGCAGGUGGUUUAAUAAGUCUGAUGUGAAAGCCCACGGCUCAACCGUGGAGGGUCAUUGGAAACUGUUAAACUUGAGUGCAGGAGAGAAAAGUGGAAUUCCUAGUGUAGCGGUGAAAUGCGUAGAGAUUAGGAGGAACACCAGUGGCGAAGGCGGCUUUUUGGCCUGUAACUGACACUGAGGCGCGAAAGCGUGGGGAGCAAACAGGAUUAGAUACCCCGGUAGUCCCUGUCUCUUAUAA